rnacentral:rRNA from 1 species
AACGAACGCUGGCGGCGUGCCUAAUACAUGCAAGUUGAGCGAUGAAGAUUGGUGCUUGCACCAAUUUGAAGAGCAGCGAACGGGUGAGUAACGCGUGGGGAAUCUGCCUUUGAGCGGGGGACAACAUUUGGAAACGAAUGCUAAUACCGCAUAACAACUUUAAACAUAAGUUUUAAGUUUGAAAGAUGCAAUUGCAUCACUCAAAGAUGAUCCCGCGUUGUAUUAGCUAGUUGGUGAGGUAAAGGCUCACCAAGGCGAUGAUACAUAGCCGACCUGAGAGGGUGAUCGGCCACAUUGGGACUGAGACACGGCCCAAACUCCUACGGGAGGCAGCAGUAGGGAAUCUUCGGCAAUGGACGAAAGUCUGACCGAGCAACGCCGCGUGAGUGAAGAAGGUUUUCGGAUCGUAAAACUCUGUUGGUAGAGAAGAACGUUGGUGAGAGUGGAAAGCUCAUCAAGUGACGGUAACUACCCAGAAAGGGACGGCUAACUACGUG